GCCUUCGUGGUCGAGCGGUAAGGACACUUGCCUCUCGCCCUGGAGUCCCGGGUUUGAUCCCCGGUAGAGGAA
rnacentral:tRNA from 1 species